GAUGAACGCUGGCGGCGUGCCUAAUACAUGCAAGUCGAGCGAACAGACGAGGAGCUUGCUCCUCUGACGUUAGCGGCGGACGGGUGAGUAACACGUGGAUAACCUACCUAUAAGACUGGGAUAACUUCGGGAAACCGGAGCUAAUACCGGAUAAUAUAUUGAACCGCAUGGUUCAAUAGUGAAAGACGGUUUUGCUGUCACUUAUAGAUGGUUCCGCGCCGCAUUAGCUAGUUGGUAAGGUAACGGCUUACCAAGGCAACGAUGCGUAGCCGACCUGAGAGGGUGAUCGGCCACACUGGAACUGAGACACGGUCCAGACUCCUACGGGAGGCAGCAGUAGGGAAUCUUCCGCAAUGGGCGAAAGCUUGACGGAGCAACGCCGCGUGAGUGAUGAAGUUCUUCGGAUCGUAAAACUCUGUUAUUAGGGAAGAACAAAUGUGUAAGUAACUAUGCACGUCUUGACGGUACCUAAUCAGAAAGCCACGGCUAACUACGUG
rnacentral:rRNA from 1 species